rnacentral:rRNA from 1 species
GACAGAGGGUGCAAGCGUUGUCCGGAUUUAUUGGGCGUAAAACGUCUGUAGGCGGUUUAUUAAGUCUGAAGUUAAAUAGUUGAGCUCAACUCAAUCUCUGCUCCAGAUACUGAUAAACUAGAGUGCGUUAGGGGUUAUUGGAAUUCCCGGUGUAGUGGUGAAAUACGUAGAUAUCGGGAGGAACUCCAGUGGCGAAAGCGAAUAACUGGGGCGUAACUGACGCUGAGAGACGAAAGCGUGGGGAGCAAAAAGG